CCUCCACACGCCAGUCAUCGUCUGACUCCAAAAUAGUUCGAGGCGUUUCUCCGGCAACAAACGACUUUUCUGAAUUCCGAAUAAACUCAAGGUCAAUGUACUUGCAGCAUCGUUUAAAAUUACCUGAACAAGAAUGGAAGAGAUUUGAAUAUUGUGUUCAUCAGAGCAUGGAUUCCAAUAAUGUCUUGCUAAGCCAUUUCAGAGGCCAGUUCUGAAUCAACCACAAAGCUGGUGGAUCUUGUAGUCCCGAUCAGCAUCAGAAAGAGUGAGAGCAUAGACCUUGGGGCUGACAGGAAGGGUCGGAACUGCCGACCCCAGGAUGGCUGUACCAUUGUCCGGCACAGCAGGAGCUGGACAAGCACCUCGGUACGGCCAAUGGAGGCGCAGACCCCCUCGCUCUCAGGUGUACCAACCAAUGAGGGGGACGAACGAGGGAGAACUGACCGGGAACUCCUGGCGGCGCGAAGUAUAAUUG